UACGUAGGGUGCGAGCGUUAAUCGGAAUUACUGGGCGUAAAGCGUGCGCAGGCGGUUUUGUAAGUCUGUCGUGAAAUCCCCGGGCUCAACCUGGGAAUUGCGAUGGAGACUGCAAGGCUAGAAUCUGGCAGAGGGGGGUAGAAUUCCACGUGUGAGCAGUGAAAUGCGUAGAGAUAGUGGGAGGAACACCGAUGGCGAAGGCAGCCCCCUGGGUCAAGAUUGACGCUCCAUGCACGAAAGCGUGGGGAGCAAACAGG
rnacentral:rRNA from 1 species